CUACGUGCCAGCAGCCGCGGUAAUACGGAAGGUCCGGGCGUUAUCCGGAAUUAUUGGGUUUAAAGGGAGCGCAGGCGGGAGUGUAAGUCAGCUGUUAAAUAUCAGGGCCCAACUCUGUUAUGCAGUUGAAACUAUAUUUCUUGAGUACGCACAGGGAUGGCGGAAUUCAGGGUGUAGCGGUGAAAUGCUUAGAUAUCCUGAAGAACUCCGAUCGCGAAGGCAGCCAUCCGGAGCGUAACUGACGCUGAGGCUCGAAAGCGUGGGGAGCAAACAGGAUUAGAUACCCUGGUAGUCCACGCCGUAAACGAUGAGUGCUAGGUGUUAGACCCUUUCCGGGGUUUAGUGCCGCAGCUAACGCAUUAAGCACUCCGCCUGGGGAGUACGACCGCAAGGUUGAAACUCAAAGGAAUUGACGGGGGCCCGCACAAGCGGUGGAGCAUGUGGUUUAAUUCGACGCAACGCGAGGAACCUUACCAGCGUUUGACAUC
rnacentral:rRNA from 1 species